GAUUAUCUCGGUUUGCCCGUAAUGAUGUGUCAAUACAGUUCAAGAGUGCAGCUGUGUGCUCUUUCAUCAUUCUAUCUAACCUGUCAACUCCAUAACCACCAAAAACACGGACAAAUGCUUUCAGUUCCCUGAGAUCUGUCACUGACUCAGCAAAAUAUCCACCAACCGGCCUCGUGCUCUUGAAGCAUCUGUGCCGGGGCGCAAAGAGGAUACCUGCACCUGAUACAUCCUUGACCACGUUUUCAAUGUACCAGUUACAUACUGUUUCAGUGGCUGAUCCAGUAUGCUGCUCUGUAGCUUUCUCAAACAAGUGCAAAGAUGAAACUGGACCACAGAAUGUCUCUGUUAGUAAUAUCUCCCGGAUACCUUGAGUCAGGUCCAUGCUGAUGUGUUGUUCUGCUAGAUGGACAAUAGCUGUAUGUCUGCGUAUCAGUGCUUCCAAGACAGUAGGACGCUGAAGAUCAUUAUCAGUUUUCAGAACAGCAAGCAGUCUCCUUCUGAAGUUCCCAAGGAUACAUUCUCUCAUGUACUCCCUCAGAACGAAGACGUGGUUUAGAACACAUAUAGGCUCCAUGUCAUUUAAAACUGAGCAAAGGUUGGUCAACCUCUGCAUUGCAGCUUCUUCCCAAG
rnacentral:misc_RNA from 1 species